GGCAGCGCGGGGACAAUCCUGGCGGCGAGUGGCGAACGGGUGAGUAAUACAUCGGAACGUGCCCAAUCGUGGGGGAUAACGCAGCGAAAGCUGUGCUAAUACCGCAUACGAUCUACGGAUGAAAGCAGGGGAUCGCAAGACCUUGCGCGAAUGGAGCGGCCGAUGGCAGAUUAGGUAGUUGGUGAGGUAAAGGCUCACCAAGCCUUCGAUCUGUAGCUGGUCUGAGAGGACGACCAGCCACACUGGGACUGAGACACGGCCCAGACUCCUACGGGAGGCAGCAGUGGGGAAUUUUGGACAAUGGGCGAAAGCCUGAUCCAGCCAUGCCGCGUGCAGGAUGAAGGCCUUCGGGUUGUAAACUGCUUUUGUACGGAACGAAACGGCCUUUUCUAAUAAAGAGGGCUAAUGACGGUACCGUAAGAAUAAGCACCGGCUAACUACGUGCCAGCAGCCGCGGUAAUACGUAGGGUGCAAGCGUUAAUCGGAAUUACUGGGCGUAAAGGGUGCGCAGGCGGUUAUGUAAGACAGUUGUGAAAUCCCCGGGCUCAACCUGGGAACUGCAUCUGUGACUGC
rnacentral:rRNA from 1 species